GGGUUAAAUGCAUCUGAUUCAGAGGGGUUAAAUGCAUCUGAUUCAGAGGGGUUAAAUGUAUCUGAUUCAGAGGGGUUAAAUGCAUCUGAUUCAGAGGGGUUGGGUUAAAUGUGGAAGACACAUUUUGGUUGAAUGCAUUCAGUUGGUCAACUGACUAGGUAUCCCCCUUUGUUGGUCAACUGACUUGGUAUCCCCCCUUUGUUGGUCAACUGACUAGGUAUCCCCCCUUUGUUGGUCAACUGACGAGGUAUCCCCCCUUUGUUGGUCAACUGAAUAGGUAUCCCCCCUUUGUUGGUCAACUGACUAGGUAUUCCCCCUAGGUAUCCCAAAUGGCACUCUAUUCCCUAUAUAGUGCUCUACUUUUAGUUGGAGGGACAGGAGGAGAGUAACUAGGCUGUGUCCGAUUAGAUCUAUAGGCUGACAGACGUCCACUGGACAUGUCCUCUGUUGAGAAGAGCGACAACGUGACUCGAGAUGGAGGGAAGAAAGUUGACAGUCAGGUAUCUCUACAAUACAGCAUUCUACCGUUACAGAGUAAAAGUCCCCUUUUCAGAAUAAAAGUCCCCUUCUUGAACAAGGUAUGACGAGUCAGAGCAGGCCUGUCUGUUUUACAAGGUCAGGUCUGCAUCUGAGAUGGCACCCUAUUACUCAGUGGUGGUUCUAGCUUGUAUGGCUCCCUGGGCGAGCCCCUGCUACUGCCAACCAAGAGUCAAGACUACAUUACCCAUCCCCCGCAACACUGCCAACCAAGAGUCAAGACACCAUUACUCAUCCCCCAACACUGUCAACCAAGAGUCAAGACUACAGAGUCAAGACUACAUUACCCAUCCUCCAACACUGUCAACCAAGAGUCAAGACUACAGAGUGAAGACUACAUUACCCAUCCCCCAACACUGUCAACCAAGAGUCAAGACUACAUUACUCAUCCCGCAACACUGUCAACCAAGAGUCAAGACUACAUUACUCAUCCCCCAACACUGUCAACCAAGAGUCAAGACUACAUUACCCAUCCCCCAACACUGUCAACCUAGAGUAAAGACCUAGGUUGACCUAGGUCAACCUACCCCCGCCCCCUACCUCGGGAUUCCAGAGGGGAGACCUGAGGUCAACCUACCCCCGCCCCCCUACCUCGGGAUUCCAGAGGGGAGACCUGAGGUCAACCUACCCCCACUCCCCUCCCCAUCUCGUACUUCUGAGUGGGAGACCUUCCCAGGCAGUAGCCUGCCUAGCUUACCAACAACAAGGUAAAUUGAGCCACAGUCCCACACGGUGACAUGAUAUCAUUGACGUGACAUGCUAAUGAGUGAUAGAAAACACGAUCGCGCAAAUGUCAGCAUUCCAAUUUUUUUUCUGCGGGUGCCGUGUGCCUCCCUGGACGGCUGCCCAUACCGCCUAUACCUAAAUCCUCCACUCUAGCCACCAAUUCCCUCAAUGCCAAUACUGUGCUCUCUCUCAGGUUCACGAUAUGGGUGGUAAAGAAGUAUUUGGAGCCUGAAUAGAACCCUAUUCCUUAUGUAGUGCACUACCCUAUAGGCCCUGGUCUAAAGUAGUGCACUACCCCUAUAGGCCCUAGUCUAAAGUAGUGCACUACCCUAUAGGUCCUGGUCUAAAGUAGCGCACUACCCCUAUAGGCCUUGGUCUAAAGUAGUGCACUACCCCUAUAGGCCCUAGUCUAAAGUAGUGCACUACCCUAUAGGCCCUGGUCUAAAGUAGGACAUUACCCUAUAGGCCCUGGUCUAAUGUAGUGCAACUACCCCUAUAGGCCCUGGUCUAAAGUAGUGCACUACCCUAUAGGCCCUGGUCUAAAGUAGGCCACUAUAUUGGGAAUAGGGUGCCAUUUUUAAUACACACCCAGUCUGUUAAGCUCCUAUUGAGAUAGGUUGGGCUUUAUACAGCUGUCUGUCUGCCUGACUGUCUGACUGUCUGUCUGUCUGCCUGACUGUCUGUCUGCCUGUCUGCCUGACCGUCUGUCUGUCUGCCUGACUGUCUGUCUAACUGUCUGUCUGUCUGCCUGUCUGCCUGCCUGUCUGUCUGUCUGCCUGACCUUCUGUCUGUCUGUCUGCCUGACUGUCUGUCUAACUGUCUGCCUGUCUGUCUGUCUGCCUGACUGUCUGCCUGGUGCAAUUGGAUCACUACAGCGCUUUUAUAAAAUGUAUGGAAAGAAUUGUAUUUCUUUUUAAUCAACGUAUGUAAAUUAAUGAUUAUAAUUGCCUGUGUUACCAUAAACAAAACAGCUAUUAGUAUUUACAAAUAUGGAUGAGUAUCGAUCAUUCCUAUAUGCUGUAAAUGUACUACUGAAUGACGUAUAUACUGUACUUACACACCCGUUGGAGGGCUGACAGGCUAUUCAUAUUCAAGGUAUUUGAAAGUAUAUAUGUGGUGUGUUUUCUUGUAUAUGAUAUAGUAUUCUUUGUUCUUUAGAAACCUCUUCUUCUGCUGUUAGCUGUUAGAUGCUGACAAUGUUUAUCGAUGUUGUCAUUGAAAGAAAAUAACUAUUUUAUUUAUUUUUUAUUUAUUUAUUUUAUUUUUUAUUUCACCAAGUUCUCAUUUGGUACGGUGGGAUUCUAAAUGGUCGGUGAUCUGUUUGUGAACUUGGCUUUCGAAGACUUUAGAAAGGCAGGGCAGGAUGGAUAUAGGUCUGUAGCAGUUUGGGUCUAGAGGCAGGGCAGGGCAGGAUGGAUAUAGGUCUGUAGCAGUUUGGGUCUAGAGGCAGGGCAGGAUGGAUAUAGGUCUGUAACAGUUUGGGUCUAGAGGCAGGGCAGGAUGGAUAUAGGUCUGUAACAGUUUGGGUCUAGAGGCAGGGCAGGAUGGAUAUUGGUCUGUAACAGUUUGGGUCUAGAGGCAGGGCAGGGUGGAUAUAGGUCUGUAACAGUUUGGGUCUAGAGGCAGGGCAGGAUGGAUAUAGGUCUGUAACAGUUUGGGUCUAGAGGCAGGGCAGGAUGGAUAUAGGUCUGUAACAGUUUGGGUCUAGAGGCAGGGCAGG
ensembl:lncRNA